AUCCCCGGGCUCAACCCGGGAACUGCAUUCCAAACUGGGUAUCUAGAGUGCAGGAGAGGAAAGCGGAAUUCCUAGUGUAGCGGUGAAAUGCGUAGAUAUUAGGAGGAACACCAGUGGCGAAGGCGGCUUUCUGGACUGUAACUGACACUGAGGCAUGAAAGCGUGGGUAGCAAACAGGAUUAGAUACCCUGGUAGUCCACGCCGUAAACGAUGGGUACUAGGUGUAGGAGGUAUCGACCCCUUCUGUGCCGCCGUUAACACAAUAAGUACCCCGCCUGGGGAGUACGGUCGCAAGACUAAAACUCAAAGGAAUUGACGGGGGCCCGCACAAGCAGCGGAGCAUGUGGUUUAAUUCGAAGCAACGCGAAGAACCUUACCUAGACUUGACAUCUCCUGAAUUACCCUUAAUCGGGGAAGCCCUUCGGGGCAGGAAGACAGGUGGUGCAUGGUUGUCGUCAGCUCGUGUCGUGAGAUGUUGGGUUAAGUCCCGCAACGAGCGCAACCCUUAUUUUUAGUUGCUACCAUUUGGUUGAGCACUCUAAAGAGACUGCCCGGGUUAACCGGGAGGAAGGUGGGGAUGACGUCAAAUCAUCAUGCCCCUNAUGUCUAGGGCUACACACGUGCUACAAUGGUGAGAACAAAGAGACGCAAGACCGCGAGGUGGAGCCAAUCUCACAAAACUCAUCCCAGUUCGGAUUGCAGGCUGAAACUCGCCUGCAUGAAGCCGGAGUUGCUAGUAAUCGCGAAUCAGCAUGUCGCGGUGAAUACGUUCCCGGGCCUUGUACACACCGCCCGUCACACCAUGAGAGUUGGCAAUACCCGAAGUCCGUGGGAUAACCGCAAGGAGUCAGCGGCCGAAGGUAGGGUCAGCGAUUGGGGUGAAGUCGUAACAAGGUAACC
rnacentral:rRNA from 1 species